UACGUAGGGGGCAAGCGUUGUUCGGAAUUACUGGGCGUAAAGGGCGCGAGGCGGCACGACAAGUCGGGAGUGAAAGCCCGGGGCUCAACCCCGGAGGGUCUCUCGAUACUGUCGAGCUAGAGUGCGGAAGAGGCAACCGGAAUUCUCAGUGUAGGCGGUGAAAAUGCGUAGAUAUUGAGAAGAACACCAGAAGGCGAAGGCGGGGUUGCUGGGCCGACACUGACGCUGAGGCGCGAAAGCCAGGGGAGCAAACGGG
rnacentral:rRNA from 1 species